rnacentral:sRNA from 2 species
CCCCCUGGGGAGUAGCCAUCCGCAUUUUCAGCGGAGCGCAUGUCAACAAACUUGGCUUCGGCCAUGGCAUGUGCGGCCUUUACGGUUUGGCGAGACCAUGGAUCGGCAUGCACUCGGGGCCGGGCGCGUGCCCGGUUCAUGUAUCCUAUGCCCGGCCC